rnacentral:rRNA from 1 species
AGUGGGGAAUCUUGGACAAUGGGGGCAACCCUGAUCCAGCCAUGCCGCGUGAGCGAUGAAGGCCUUAGGGUUGUAAAGCUCUUUCAGCGGGGAAGAUAAUGACGGUACCCGCAGAAGAAGCCCCGGCUAACUCCGUGCCAGCAGCCGCGGUAAUACGGAGGGGGCUAGCGUUGUUCGGAAUUACUGGGCGUAAAGCGCACGUAGGCGGACCUACAAGUCGGGGGUGAAAUCCCGGGGCUCAACCCCGGAACUGCCUUCGAAACUGUCGGUCUGGAGUCCGAGAGAGGUGAGUGGAAUUCCGAGUGUAGAGGUGAAAUUCGUAGAUAUUCGGAGGAACACCAGUGGCGAAGGCGGCUCACUGGCUCGGUACUGACGCUGAGGUGCGAAAGCGUGGGGAGCAAA